rnacentral:lncRNA from 1 species
UGAUUGAUAACUUAUUCUUGUAUGUUAAUUAAGGAUGCAUACUUAGUUUCCAUGCAGGGAUUUGAUGCUAGGAUAUAAGGGAAUUUCACCUAACAGUUAUGAACUUAUAUUCAUAAGUAGUGGAGGUUGCUAGUCACAAUCGUGUUAAGUAGAUUCCUGGCAGGAGUAUCAUGCUCAUCAUAGUUACGAAUGUUUUGUCAAUACUUAUGAUUUUCACAAAGCUUAAUGAUCUUUGAUUGUAUCUUUAUUAUGCUUUUCAUGUAGGGAACUUUUGAAGAAUAAUUUGAGUUGCCGAUGCGUUAUCCAUCCAAUUCAAUGACUUAAGGAAGAUCUGAGGGUUAAUUAGUGCUGUUCACGGUUAAUAUGGGGCGUUGAGGUUCAUGGUUUAUUGGAAAAGCAACUAGAAAUCGUUUUGUAUGCAAGUGUGUCAUGUGUGGCGAAGAACCCUCUAGCUGGCUUAUCACCCAUCCAUUUACCCCAAUUUCGUGCCAAAAUCUGUUUAAGUCUUUAGUUUACUUGUUUUACUUUAAAUUCGUCAAAAACCCAAUCCCUUUUACUUUAUUGUGUCAAAUUAGUUAGAAUCUAUCCAAACUUGUGUUUUAAGUGUUUUAAAGUGUUUUGAGUCAAGUUAAAGUCAAUUUUCGUCCGAAUCACCUCUUAAUGUCUAGUUUGCGUCUAUUUGAUUGUUUUGAGUCUUUUUAGUUUGUUUUGAGUUCUUUGAGUCUAGUUAAGUGUUUUCAAGCCUAGUUUUAUGUUUUUAAGUCAGUUUUAAGUAGAUUAGCAAUCCCUCCUAAUCCCCAGUCUAGAACGAUCCCUACUUACAUCUUUACUACAAUUGUCA